rnacentral:rRNA from 1 species
GACGAACGCUGGCGGCGUGCUUAACACAUGCAAGUCGAGCGGUAAGGCCCUUUCGGGGGUACACGAGCGGCGAACGGGUGAGUAACACGUGGGUGACCUGCCCUGUUGUGGGGGAUAACCGAGGGAAACUUCGGCUAAUACCGCAUACGCCCGGUGGAGCGAUCCAUCGGGGAAAGAUUUAUCGCAGCAGGGAGGGGCCCGCGUCGGAUUAGCUUGUUGGUGGGGUAACGGCCUACCAAGGCGAUGAUCCGUAGCUGGUCUGAGAGGAUGAUCAGCCACACUGGGACUGAGACACGGCCCAGACUCCUACGGGAGGCAGCAGUGGGGAAUAUUGGACAAUGGGCGCAAGCCUGAUCC